ACAUGAACCUAAUAGUAUUAACUUCUUUUUAAAGCUUAAAGAUAACCUCAUUGGCAGGAUAAGUUGUAAAACCUGUACCUCCGGUGAAUGUAGACCUCUAGAUUGUCUCAAUGCAGUUGGGUGUGACUUGCCUGUCAAGUAUGUUGUUGCUGUGAUAAUUGGCCCAUCAUAAAUACUUUCUGGGCUGGCAGCUGAUUUCAAGCUUUUAGAAUAGCCAAUAGCAGGGUGGCAAGCUUCAAUUUCCUGCCCAUGGAACUUGGUCUCUAGCUGCAUAAAUGUGCAUGCACACAUACAAAAGGCCAAAUAGAAGUAGUGUGCCGCUAUAAGAAAUGACUCACAAGGUCAUGCCUCUGUACUGUCCUAUUAGUCCACAUCUAAUACACAGGACUAGGGCUGAGCUGAAAUGGAAAAGCAUAUUUCAUGGGAAACAAUCACCCCUUGUGAAUGCUACCAUAUUUUUCCGUCUAUAGGACAUCCCCGUAUAUAAGACCCCCCUAUUUUAGGGGACUCAAUUUUAGGAAAAUGAGGGGAGAUGGCCCAAAGUUGUUGAGCCUCUCCCCCCACGCAGCCGGGGGCAGGAAACACUUCCUAGUUUCCCAUGCGCAGCAGCAUGGGGGGGGGGAAUUUGCGCUCCCAUCAGCCAUUGCGCUCCAGUGCUGCUGCUUGUGGGAAACAAUCCAGGGAGCACCCACCGCACGCAGCGGCAGCGGGGGAAGUUGCACUCCCUCCAACGAGCUGGCUGGUGGUGCGCAGCUUCUCCGGCCCCCAUGUAGCUGCAGGCAGGAAACACCCCCCAGGUCGCUCCCUGCUUGCUGUGGCAUCGGGGUAAGCUGUGCUCCCGCCAACAAGCUGGCUGGCGGCACGCCACUUCUCCCCCCCCCCAAUCCACUAUCCAUGUAUUGGACAACCCCAGUUUUUUGACGUGAUUUUUGAGUCAAAAAACCUCGUCCAAUACACGGAAAAAUACGGUACUGUAUAUACUCACAUUCACAAAUGCAGCAAUAAGUAUUUGAGGUGGGGGCACUGGAAUAUAGGGCAAAAAUUUCCUCCAUUUGGUUUGAGGGUGGGAAGCAUUGGCCUCACUUUGAUUUGGUUUAAUGAUGCUAUUGCAGAACCAAAUCUGUUGCCAUGAUGUUGUUGUCAUAUUGGUUAUAUGAUCGUUGAUUGCCUGGAUGACAUAGCCAGUGAGAUAAUUUUUGCCUAGCCAAAAAGUGCCAAGGCGGCAGUGAAAAGAGGAAGUGAAAUAAUGUGAAAAAAGGGUUUAGAGAGGUCUCUUGGAGAAUAUCUUGGUGAGAUGUCUCCCCUCUCCCCAUAUUCCAUGACACUUGAGCAUCCUGAAAUUCUGCACCAAAUAUAUCCCCCAAGAAAAAUUUGGCUCAAGCCCAGACCUGCAUCUCCCUUCCAAACCUCUCCCUAUUCUGACCUUUCAUGUACCCUGCCACUUAUCUCCCCAGCCUAGCUUGAUUAUAGUUUUCAGUCAGGAUAGGACGGAAGGUGAGACAAGAUUCAGCUUCCCCUUAGCCGUAAACUCCUUUGAGGGAGCAAAGCAGACCCUCCCAUUCUUCCAUUUUACCCAUGAACAUUGCAGUCCUAUGAAUAAAUAAAUAUGGCUGCUCUAUCAUCUCUCCAUAUGUGUUCUCCUAGUAAUACAGCCUGCCACCACCCUGGGCAAUGGACAUGGUGUUGUACAUAGUUUGUCAUAAGCCACCAAUACAUAUUUUAUUAUUCAGUCACAGACCCAGUAAAUCAUAAGCCAUAAAUCAGCCUGUGUGUCAAAUGAGCCUGGUUUGCAACCCAAAUUUGAAAAAUAAUGCAACUCAGGGAGGGGGCAGGGAAGAGCAGCGUAAGCACAGAGAGCAAAGGUUUACAACCAAACAGAGGCAGUGAUAAGGGGAAGGAAGGAGCGAGAUAAUGAGGUUGUUUGUUUGUUUGUUUGUUUUUAAAAGGAGAAGAGGAGGAGACUGAACUUAUGAGUUGUGUGUGUCUGGAUAUAAAAUUCAACAGCUCUUUGCUCGCCAUUUCUCUGAAUAUUUGUGGAAGUGUGGGCAAACACUUGGAUCGAAUCCUGUUGUGGCUCUUUCCAUAAAUAUUCUUCCCCUCAACAACUCCUUUUUGCAAACUGCUGAGGUUCAGGGCUUGAAAUGUGGUAGUAUUUACUUUGGAGAGGAAGUGGUUAAUAUUUGCAAAAGGAUGUCAGGAAAUUGAAUAAACUGGGAGCAGCAUUCUGGUCUUAUGAUGUUGAGAUUAAGAGUAUCCAUUGCAGUUGGCAAGAGAGUGUGUGAAUAAACAGCUCUGGGGUCCCUCAUCUCCCUUUAGCGGGCAAAAGGUUAGUCUGAAAAGAGCUUGGCUCAGAGGUAAGAAUCCCUAACACUGUGUUUACCUGCCAGCUUCUGCCUCACUUGUAUGUAUUGGCUGUUAUUUCUAACUCUGCAUGUGUAGCAGGGAAUCUUUUUCGGUUAGCAAGGAGACAGGGCUAAUUAGAUGCUCCCCAGCAUUUGUUUGAAGUUUAUAUCAUUUGUCCUGGGAGAUAGAAGGGGAAUAAUUUACAUAUGUAUGUCUGAGCUGUGGACUAUCUGUUGUCUGCUUAUGGGAUGGAUCAGAACACCAGAAAUAGUGGCUGUAUCUCACUACAAUCUGGAGAGCGUUCCUAACAAGCAUUGUCUGCUCGUGUGGAAUUGCUGCAAGAUGGGAACAUCCCAGUGUGGCAAACGAUUUGUUAUCUGCCUCAUUGGACGGCUGCUAUUUUUCCAAACCUGGGAUCUGGUGGGGAGGGAAAAGGUUAUGUGUGUGUUGAACAACCUGGUCACAAUGGAAACCCAAGAAGUGUGAUGUUUAACUCUUGUUCUUCUGGGAAGACCUGAGGGCAGUGAUUAAAGGGCAGAGGGAUAUGUGUGUGUUGAAUUAAAAAAAUAUAUUGUAUUCUGCAUUUGUAAGUGCUCUGCAUCUGUAAGUGUUGGGUGAGAGGGAAAGUCGUUUUGAUUUGUGCUUCCUUGAACAUGUACAUGUUGGAGGAGGGAAGCUUCCUGGUGCUAUAAUCUCCUUAGCAGUGUAGUGUUUUGAUUUAAGAGAUUUUGCUGUUAACCAUUGGAUUAACCAUUGCAGUAAAGCUUGUUAGCCACUCAGUUAUUAUUUUUUUUAUCUUAAGGGUUUUGGUUCAAAUCUAUUUUUACAGCUGCGCAUUGUCGGCUGAAAUCCAAAGCCCUACUUAGACUCGCCCAAGUGUUUCCUUAGACCCAGUAGGACUUUUCCCGUUUGAACAGCUGAUGGGCUGUGUUGUAAAACAGGUUUUCUAACUCCCCUGCAGUUUUGCUAUUGAAGUGUGUGUGGGAGGGGGGGUGCUUUAGGUGGUUUACAUGUCCUGUAUAAGAUAAGCAAAAUUUAUUUAAUUUAAAAAAAAACUUGUUCUGAUUCUGCUGGUCCUGAGGAAGGAGUGAGAUCUGAGCAGGACACUUUGUCCACUGGAUAUUUGAUUGGUUUUGGCCUGGUGCCAACAUUGUCAGCUUUGGGGCGCUGAGCCUGUUUGCUCAAGUUUUUGGUUUUAAUUUAGAUCACACUUAGAUCAAUUUAUAAUCUGGGAUUUUUUUGUGUUCCUCUUCUAGUGGGGUGGGGUAGGAUUUGUUGUUUUUAUUUUUGUUGGAUGGACACCUAUAGGCAUUUUUUUUACUGUAUUCUUAUUCUAUGUAUAUAAGGUUGUAUCCAAUGUUUGGCCUAUUGGAAAAAAGCAAAUACAUUUAAUUAUUCUGAGGUUCUAGGUCCUUUGUUACACGAGGGCACUGUUUGUCCAGCAAUCUAGCCAGCAGAGUCGCUUCAAAGCCAAUUCUUACGCCGACUUUUAAAACUACCAACAUGCGUAAGUAAUGCGGCUAUUCGCUUAGAAAUGAAGAUCCCCUCAGUGGAGUUAGUUUUAUGGAGGAGAGUUUUGAUUUAUUGGAUAUCCCUAUGGCAUAAACUACCGAACCACUAUCUCAUUCAAUGCAUGUGGCGGGAUGUCUUUACAAAUUUGUGGUCAGGAAAAAUCCAUGCCAAAUUGCUGUCCUAUGAGAUCUCGCCCACGGAAUUGCUCAAACUGGAUCUAAACGCGGCAAAAAGGUGUAUAAAUCAAAGGCUGGAUGAUGUGGAGCUAUACCAAAAUUUCUUAGCUGGUGGUGGAGCCUGCUCCCCGUUAAAUCUCGGCAUAACCCCUAUCUAUCGUGUCCUACUUAACAUCGCUUAUAGCCGCAUCUCACCGAUAUGCCUUCAUUAGAGCCAGGUUCAAUGUUUUUCCAACAAACGUGCUGAGACAUAGAUUCACUAAGGGCCAAGUCCCUUCAAUGUGUGCUUGUGAAAUGAAAACAUCUGAAUCUUUACAUCAUGUUAUGUUUAUCUGCCCUAUGUACAGUUUAGCUCGCGCUAGUAUACUAAACUCCAUAAUCCAGCCUAUGGCUGACAAACCAGUAGACCUACAGCUUGCCUGGGUUCUUCAAGAUGUAGAUCCUUAUAUUACUCUACAGGUUGCUAAAUUCCUAACAGCCGUUCUCUCGUACAAGAGACGGAAUGGAAUGUUAACUGAUUAUUGAUACUUAUAAGAAUUUUUGAUAUUGACAUCAGAAAUUGAUUUAGCGUAGUGCCCAAAUUUUUAACUUAAAUCUUAAAUUUCUGUUUUGAUUUGCCAAUAUUUGUCCUUGUGAGCUGUGAAUUGUGUUAUAUUACUUGUGGCUUGUUCGAGACCGCUGUUUUAUUUGAUUUGUUUUGUGUGUUGUGCUUUAUGAUGGGCGUAAAGCCGAAUAAACAUUUUGGUUCAAUCUUGCCUGUAUCCUCUCUAAGUUAAUUCUGCCCCCUACAAGCUGAGCCAUUUUGUUUUCUCUCUCCCAACUUGUUGAGGCAAGAUAUUUGCUAUUCUCUCUCUCUCUCUCUCUCUCUCUCUCUGCCUCCUCUACUGGUCCUGUAAACUGUUCCUGCCAAGAUAAACCUGCUUUUGCAUUAAUAAAAUCUUUGAACUCCAGACACUGUGACUAUUUCAGUCCAAUUCACUCGAGCUACAAGCUCUCCAAGAUCUGCCAGGAGUUGUUGUUGGUAUCUGUCUAUCUCAAGAGACAACUGAGUUCAUCUCUGGGGGUAAAGUCAAACCACUGUGUUAGCAGCACCAAAGUGACCUCUCCAUGGUGUAAGCCCGGGCAGUGUAUAUGGAGAUCCUGGGCUGCCCAGACAAUAAGAAUCACCUCUCAGCCUUGCUGAUGUUGUCCAAAGGAACGCAAAGUAAUACGUUUGGCACCAGCUUGGCUGCAGGAGUUACCAGAAGGAGGCGUGCAGGGCACCAUCCAGAGUAGACCAAUUGAAAUUAAUGGAGAUGCCUAACUUAGGUUUAUUAAUCUCAGCGGGUCUACCCAACUUAAUCGAGUGCAACCCAUUGUUUUAAAUGAUUUAUGACCUGUUGGAUAUUUUUAUAUUUUUGUAAGUUGCUUCUGAGACAUUUUUUGUAGAAAGUAAUGAAUAAAUGCAAUUAAUAAUAAUAUUUACCCCACACUUCCCCCCCCCCUUUGUUUGUGUGCACAUGCAAAAAUCAUGCUAC